UUAAACUGAAGAGUUUGAUCCUGGCUCAGAUUGAACGCUGGUGGCAUGCUUAACACAUGCAAGUCGAACGGUAACAGGUCUUAGGAUGCUGACGAGUGGCGGACGGGUGAGUAACGCGUAGGAAUCUGCCCAUUUGAGGGGGAUACCAGUUGGAAACGACUGUUAAUACCGCAUAAUAUCUGUGGAUUAAAGGUGGCUUUCGGGCUGUCGCAGAUGGAUGAGCCUGCGUUGGAUUAGCUAGUUGGUGGGGUAAGGGCCCACCAAGGCUACGAUCCAUAGCUGAUUUGAGAGGAUGAUCAGCCACAUUGGGACUGAGACACGGCCCAAACUCCUACGGGAGGCAGCAGUGGGGAAUAUUGGACAAUGGGGGCAACCCUGAUCCAGCAAUGCCAUGUGUGUGAAGAAGGCCCUAGGGUUGUAAAGCACUUUAGUUGGGGAGGAAAGCCUCAAGGUUAAUAGCCU
rnacentral:rRNA from 1 species